AUUGAACGCUGGCGGCAGGCCUAACACAUGCAAGUCGAACGAGUGGCGGACGGGUGUGUAAUGUCUGGGAAACUGCCUGAUGGAGGGGGAUAACUACUGGAAACGGUCGCUAAUACCGCAUACCAUCGGAUGUGCCCAGAUGGGAUUAGCUAGUAGGUGGGGUAAAGGCUCACCUAGGCGACAAUCCCUAGCUGGUCUGAGAGGAUGACCAGGCAACCUGGAACUGUGACACGGUCCAGACUCGUUCGUGAGUCGGCAAGGGGGAAUGUUGCACAGUGGGCGAUAGCCUGAUGCAUGCAUGCCGCGUGUAUGAGGAGGGCAAACAUGUUUUAAAAUACUUUCGACUGGUAGACGUUCCCCGUAGAUGAAGAACCGGCUAACGCCGUGCCAGCAGCCGCGGUAAUUC
rnacentral:rRNA from 1 species